GGGGAGGAGGAAGCAGGCGGAACGCUGAGUAGAGGAGGAGGUUUCCUCUUCUCCUCUCCAGCGUUUCGUCUGCUUCUACCUUCCCG
rnacentral:pre_miRNA from 1 species